ensembl:misc_RNA Metazoa_SRP Metazoan signal recognition particle RNA
GCUGGGUGUGGUAGUGCACGCCUGUAAUCCCAGCUACAUAGGAGGCUGAGGCAGAAGAAUCACUUGAACCCAGGAGGCAGAGGUUGCAGUGAGCUGAGAUCAUGCCACUGCACUCCAGCCUGGGUGACAGAAUGAGACUCUGUCUCUA